rnacentral:rRNA from 1 species
GACGAACGCUGGCGGCGUGCUUAACACAUGCAAGUCGUACGGUAAGGCCCUUUCGGGGGUACACGAGUGGCGAACGGGUGAGUAACACGUGAGUAACCUGCCCACAACUUUGGGAUAACGCUAGGAAACUGGUGCUAAUACUGGAUAUGUGCUCCUGCUGCAUGGUGGGGGUUGGAAAGCUCCGGCGGUUGUGGAUGGACUCGCGGCCUAUCAGCUUGUUGGUGGGGUAGUGGCCUACCAAGGCGGCGACGGGUAGCCGGCCUGAGAGGGUGACCGGCCACAUUGGGACUGAGAUACGGCCCAGACUCCGACGGGAGGCAGCAGGGGGGAAUAUUGCACAAUGGGAGCAAGCCUGAUGCAGCAACGCCGCGUGCGGGAUGACGGCCUUCGGGUUGUAAACAGCUUUCAGCAGGGACGAAGCUUUUUGUGACGGUACCUGCAGAAGAAGCACCGGCUAACUACGUGC